rnacentral:lncRNA from 1 species
AGCAAUGAGAACGUUUGGCCUUCUCAGGUGAAUAUUUUUGGUCCCAAAAAUAAAUUUUACUUUACACCUCUUUCCUGUGACCCUAAAAGAGUGUGGCUGGCUUAUGGUGCAGAAGGAGCUGCUAGAAAGAAGAUAAUUUGGAAUAAGAAGGAGGGCACAGCCCUCAUGAUCAAAGCACACCACCUGAUGCUCUGAGAAACAGUGAGAGCUCCCAGUGUGUAACCUAAAUACAGUUCAUGAGCUGUGGCACAGAACGGAAGGACUCGGCUACAGAUUUUUGUCUCCAUGUAAAGUCACAUAAGGAGCACUAAGGCGUCCCCUCAAACACCCUGCGAUCCCAAGUAAUGGUAAUUAAUAAACCUUAACUGGUUCCAUUCUGCUUUUAUUUUCUGAUGCUUAUCUUGAAAUUUAUUUCCCCAAAUCAUCUCAGCCCACUCAUUUCUCUCCUUUUCCAUCUUGUUACGCUGCCAGGUGCCAGUUUCCCUUCCUAGCCCUGUGAAGAGCAGGGCCCACAGCGGGGCCCUCGGGCGCCUCACAGCCGAGGCCCUGAGGAGAGCCCAGGGCCCUCAGAAUGGCGCCUGUCUCCCCUCAGCUGUUGUGGCACUGCCGGCCGGUCCUGUUGGGCACCUUUUGGCAUCGACUGUGGGAGCCAGCCCUGCUCAGGGCCUCAGCAGCUGGAAGUGGGGCCAUCAGCAGCAGGAGCAUUGGGGUUGAAAGGAAGCACGGGAUGACAUGUCCUCCCAUCAGAAGAGAAAGGGAGGAAGAGGACAAUGAAGACAAAACAUUCAAAGAAAACCUCAAUUCAAGUUUGAUUUUGAGUAGAGCAAGAUGUUAUGAGGCGCUGUAUGAGCAACUGUACGAGGAUGUGGAAGAGUCAGAUUGUACCUACACUACUGCAGACAUUUUAGGUAAAUAGCAUAAGUACAGAAUGCCCAUGGAAUUCACUUGCUCCACAGCUCUAGCAGACACACAAAAAUGUGUUAAUAUCUGUGCAGACAUUUUGUCCAGCUGAUUCUGCUGUGAAAGCCUAAUGCUGGUUUCCUCUUUCUGUGGGGAGGAUAGAGAUGGUACACUUAAAAGAAGUUCAAAAAUUAACAAUAAACAGUGAGGAAAAGGUUUCUACUGACA